rnacentral:rRNA from 1 species
CAGGGAUUGCUCUAGUAACGGCGAGUGAAGCAGCAAUAGCUCAAAUUUGAAAUCUGGCGUCUUCGACGUCCGAGUUGUAAUUUGUAGAGGAUGCUUCUGAGUGGCCACCGACCUAAGUUCCUUGGAACAGGACGUCAUAGAGGGUGAGAAUCCCGUAUGCGGUCGGAAAGGCGCUCUAUACGUAGCUCCUUCGACGAGUCGAGUUGUUUGGGAAUGCAGCUCUAAAUGGGAGGUAAAUUUCUUCUAAAGCUAAAUAUUGGCCAGAGACCGAUAGCGCACAAGUAGAGUGAUCGAAAGAUGAAAAGCACUUUGGAAAGAGAGUUAAAAAGCACGUGAAAUUGUUAAAAGGGAAGGGAUUGCAACCAGACUUGCUCGCGGUGUUCCGCCGGUCUUCUGACCGGUCUACUCGCCGCGUUGCAGGCCAGCAUCGUCUGGUGCCGCUGGAUAAGACUUGAGGAAUGUAGCUCCCUCGGGAGUGUUAUAGCCUCUUGUGAUGCAGCGAGCGCCGGGCGAGGUCCGCGCUUCGGCUAGGAUGCUGGCGUAAUGGUCGUAAUCCGCCCGUCUUGAAACACGGACCAAGGAGUCUAACAUCUAUGCGAGUGUUCGGGUGUCAAACCCCUACGCGUAAUGAAAGUGAACGGAGGUGAGAACCGCAAGGUGCAUCAUCGACCGAUCCUGAUGUCUUCGGAUGGAUUUGAGUAAGAGCAUAGCUGUUGGGACCCGAAAGAUGGUGAACUAUGCCUGAAUAGGGUGAAGCCAGAGGAAACUCUGGUGGAGGCUCGCAGCGGUUCUGACGUGCAAAUCGAUCGUCAAA